rnacentral:rRNA from 1 species
UAGGGAAUCUUCCACAAUGGACGCAAGUCUGAUGGAGCAACGCCGCGUGAGUGAAGAAGGUUUUCGGACCGUAAAGCUCUGUUGCUGGUGAAGAAGGAUAGAGGUAGUAACUGGCCUUUUAUUUGACGGUAAUCAACCAGAAAGUCACGGCUAACUACGUGCCAGCAGCCGCGGUAAUACGUAGGUGGCAAGCGUUGUCCGGAUUUAUUGGGCGUAAAGCGAGCGCAGGCGGAAGAAUAAGUCUGAUGUGAAAGCCCUCGGCUUAACCGAGGAAUUGCAUCGGAAACUGUUUUCUUGAGUGCAGAAGAGGAGAGUAGAACUCCAUGUGUAGCGGUGGAAUGCGUAGAUAUAUGGAAGAAUACCAGUGGCGAAGGCGGCUCUCUGGUCUGCAACUGACGCUGAGGCUCGAAAGCAUGGGUAGCGAACAGGAUUAGAUACCCUGGUAGUCCAUGCCGUAAACGAUGAGUGCUAAGUGUUGGGAGGCUUCCGCCUCUCAGUGCUGCAGCUAACGCAUUAAGCACUCCGCCUGGGGGAGUACGACCGCAAGGUUGAAAC